rnacentral:rRNA from 1 species
GACGAACGCUGGCGGCGUGCUUAACACAUGCAAGUCGAACGGAAUUACGCUUGACACCGAUUCUUUUAUAGAAGGUGCGAUGCGAAGACGCUAUGCGGUGAAUGAACAAAGUGAAUUCACCACGCAUAUAAAAGUGCUAACACUUAGAAGAAUGGGUGUUAAGCGUAAUUUAGUGGCGAACGGGUGAGUAACGCGUAGACAACCUACCUUUUAGAUGGGGACAACACUGCGAAAGUGGUGCUAAUACCGAAUGUUAUUGCUGGAAUGCAUGUUCUAGCAAUUAAAGAUGGCCUCUGCUUGCAAGCUAUCGCUAAAAGAUGGGUCUGCGUCUGAUUAGCUAGUUGGUGAGAUAACAGCCCACCAAGGCAACGAUCAGUAGCCGGUCUGAGAGGAUGAACGGCCACAUUGGGACUGAGACACGGCCCAAACUCCUACGGGAGGCAGCAGUGGGGAAUCUUCCGCAAUGGACGAAAGU